UUUGCCAACAGAAUUCUGGUUUUGUUUGUAAUAUUACCUGUCUAUUCCUAAUUGAAAUGGUACUAAUCUAACAUAUUAUAUCCUCUAUUCAGGUACUGCCCAGUACUCUUCUUGACUGGCAGUAAUCUAACUGUCCAAGAUAGGACCGCCAGACCAGGUGCGAAAGCACGGACAAAGCCUCAGCCCCAACGUUACCUCAAACUCAGCCCAAGGUACUGCCCAGUACUCUUCUUGACUGGCAGUAAUCUAACUGUCCAAGAUAGGACCGCCAGACCAGGUGCGAAAGCACGGACAAAGCCUCAGCCCCAACGUUACCUCAAACUCAGCCCAAGGUACUGCCCAGUACUCUUCUUGACUGGCAGUAAUCUAACUGUCCAAGAUAGGACCGCCAGACCAGGUGCGAAAGCACGGACAAAGCCUCAGCCCCAACGUUACCUCAAACUCAGCCCAAGGUUAAUAGAUACUGUUAACAUAUUAUUUAAAUUGUAAUUACUAUUUACGGACCAAUUAUUGGGUUCAAACACAGCAGCCACCAUCCAAAACUAUAAUAAUUCCUUUAACCUGGCUCUAUUUUUGCUCCAAAAUUGAAGUCAGCAGUGCCCAAAAUAGUCCUGGCUUGUAAAAUCUCCUACAUAAAAAAUCAGGACUCUUCACCAGUAGUCUGCAAACUCCGAGAUUGGGUUUGCCCCGCUCCGCUUCGCCCUCGCUUCGCUCGGGCUCGCUCCGCUCCCCACCCUGCCCCCUUAUCCCACCCGCCCCCACUACCUCUAGAUUUAUAGCCACCUGGCCACGCCUACUUCCUCUCCCACCCACUAGACUUCCUCCCUACCAACUCCCGCCCCUGCACACCAUCACCAUGCCCAAGCCAAUAGGGAUAAUUAUCCUACUUAUCCCACCACUCAUUUUAUUACCCUAUCUCUUAACAAGUUAUGAACACCUGUCCUUAUCAGGAUUCCACUACCCAAAUUAUCACACAA